GCUGGGCAUGGUGGCGCAUGCCUGUAGUCCCAGCUACUUGGGAGGCUGAGGCAGGGGAAUCGCUUGAACCCGGGGUGGCAGAGACUGCAGUGAGCUGAGAUCAUGCCACUGCACUCCAGCCUGACAACAGAGUGAGACUCUGUCUCAA
rnacentral:SRP_RNA from 2 species